AGCCUUUACCUGAAUUUCCGAAAAUAAAGUAUACUGCUAAGUACGCAACAGAUAACGACGUUAAACAGCUGUUUGGUAACUACAUAAUCAGUGAAAUGCGUACACAACAAAUCAUGAACAAAGAAAGAGAAUUGCCUUCAUCCAAGAGUGAUUACAAACAGGAUGUGAAGCAAAAGGAGCAGGGAACAUACCUUUAUAGAUGUGACAAGUGUGG